rnacentral:rRNA from 1 species
CUAAUACCGGAUAAGAAAGACGGAUCGCAUGAUCAGCUUUUAAAAGGCGGCGUAAGCUGUCGCUAUGGGAUGGCCCCGCGGUGCAUUAGCUAGUUGGUAAGGUAAAGGCUUACCAAGGCGAUGAUGCAUAGCCGAGUUGAGAGACUGAUCGGCCACAUUGGGACUGAGACACGGCCCAAACUCCUACGGGAGGCAGCAGCG